rnacentral:misc_RNA from 1 species
GGGGUCAUUUUGGCUGUUGGCUGCUUGCUUGGCAUUGAGCUUGGUGGGUUGCUACUGGUUGGGUGUCCUCGGGGAUGUCUAUCGUAAAGGUGCAUGAGUGGUGUUUGGUUUGUUACGGGUGGUUGGCUCUUUGCUUGUGCAACAACUUCUACCUGGCAUACCUCUUCAGUCUUGUGUCAAUGCUUGUAUUGCAUUGAAUGCACGGCGGGUUUCUUGUGUUGCAUGCCUAAUUAAUGGUAUCUCUUGUUGAAUUGGUAUUUCUUUUGUCUUGUGUCGCCUAUGCGAUGUGAGAUGAACCUUUGAAGCAGCCUUUGUGAUCCACUUUAUUGAUGCAUAUGCUUUGAUUUAGUGGCCCAUUGAGUGUUGCUCGGUAACAUGGAUAUGGAACCUGGUGUGGGCAUGGAAUCUUAAUGGUUCCUUGUUUGCCCAAGUUUAGCUUUUCUAAAACGAUUGUCUAUCAUGUGUUAACGUGAUAGUCAGCUUCGAAUAUGAAUG